GGUCCCGUGGUAUAAUGGCAACACAUUCCAACAUUACGCUAUUCUUAGCAAACACAUCAGAGGAGAUGUCAAUGAUGGAAAGUUAUGGGUUCGAACCCCAUCAGGACCA